CAUUAUGUGACUGUCUGUCUGCCCAGCAACAUCAAAAAUACCAAACAGUCAACCUUGCGCUGAAGAACACUGGUCCUUUACUGAACAGGAUUUCAGUAUCACCGCAGCGCCGCUUCGUUCCAGGCAUCAGGGUGUAACCAACGGUGACCCCGGUGUACACUGCCCACAUGGUGGCAUUUCAGAUAACUGAAAACGGUUUCACUUCUCCGCCAGGCAACAGCACAACUGCUGGGAAAUAAAGUGUGGAGGCUUGAUGAGCACACCGCUUGGUUCAGGGAAAGGCGGGGUGAAGAUGAAGAUAAGACUACCACGGCAGGCACACAGCUCGUUGGAGAGGACCUGAGCCCUAGGACCAUGCCCCAGGACUACCUGACAUGAUGACUCCUUGCUGUCCCCAGUCCACCUGGCCAUGCUGCUGCUCCAGUUUCAACUGGCCUGGGCCCUAGGACCAUGUCCCAGGACUACCUGACAUGAUGACUCCUUGCUGUCCCCAGUCCACCUGACUGUGCUGCUACUCCAGUUUCAACUGUUCUGCCUUAUUAUUAUAAUCUCCACCCGGCACAGCCAGAAGAGGACUGGCCACCCCACAUAUGCUCUCUCUAAUUCUCUCUUUCUUUCUCUCUCUCGAAGGACCUGAGCCCUAGGACCGUGCCCCAGGACUACCUGACAUGAUGACUCCUUGCUGUCCCCAGUCCACCUGACUGUGCUGCUACUCCAGUUUCAACUGUUCUGCCUUAUUAUUAUUCGACCAUGCUGGUCAUUUAUGAACAUUUGAACAUCUUGGUCAUGUUCUGUUAUAAUCUCUACCCGGCACAGCCAGAAGAGGACUGGCCACCCCACAUAGCCUGGUUCCUCUCUAGGUUUCUUCCUAGGUUUUGGCCUUUCUAGGGAGUUUUUCCUAGCCACCGUGCUUUUACACCUGCAUUGUUUGCUGUUUGGGGUUUUAGGCUGGGUUUCUGUACAGCACUUUGAGAUAUCAGCUGAUGUACGAAGGGCUAUAUCAAUAAAUUUGAUUUGAUUAGAUUUGAUUCUCUCAUUUGUGUUUGGAAGUAGCUAACAGCUUGACUGCUGUUGUUAGGAUAGAACGCUCGGAUCAACCUUGCUCCUCGGCU